rnacentral:pre_miRNA from 1 species
UUUGUACUCCAUCCGUCCCAAAAUUCUUGUCUUAAAUUUGUCUAAAUACGGAUGUAUCUAGUUACAUUUUAGUGUUAGAUACAUCCGUAUCUAAACAAAUGUAAGAUAAGAAUUUUGGGACGGAAGGAAUACUAC